GACGAACGCUGGCGGCGUGCUUAACACAUGCAAGUCGAACGGAAAGGCCCUGCUUUUGUGGGGUGCUCGAGUGGCGAACGGGUGAGUAACACGUGAGUAACCUGCCCUUGACUUUGGGAUAACUUCAGGAAACUGGGGCUAAUACCGGAUAGGAGCUCCUGCUGCAUGGUGGGGGUUGGAAAGUUUCGGCGGUUGGGGAUGGACUCGCGGCUUAUCAGCUUGUUGGUGGGGUAGUGGCUUACCAAGGCUUUGACGGGUAGCCGGCCUGAGAGGGUGACCGGCCACAUUGGGACUGAGAUACGGCCCAGACUCCUACGGAAGGCAGAAGUGGGGAAUAUUGCACAAUGGGCGGAAGCCUGAUGCAGCAACGCCGCGUGCGGGAUGACGGCCUUCGGGUUGUAAACCGCUUUCGCCUGUGACGAAGCGUGAGUGACGGUAAUGGGUAAAGAAGCACCGGCUAACUACGUG
rnacentral:rRNA from 1 species